rnacentral:rRNA from 1 species
ACAUGCAAGUCGAGCGGACAGAUGGGAGCUUGCUCCCUGAUGUUAGCGGCGGACGGGUGAGUAACACGUGGGUAACCUGCCUGUAAGACUGGGAUAACUCCGGGAAACCGGGGCUAAUACCGGAUGGUUGUUUGAACCGCAUGGUUCAGACAUAAAAGGUGGCUUCGGCUACCACUUACAGAUGGACCCGCGGCGCAUUAGCUAGUUGGUGAGGUAACGGCUCACCAAGGCGACGAUGCGUAGCCGACCUGAGAGGGUGAUCGGCCACACUGGGACUGAGACACGGCCCAGACUCCUACGGGAGGCAGCAGUAGGGAAUCUUCCGCAAUGGACGAAAGUCUGACGGAGCAACGCCGCGUGAGUGAUGAAGGUUUUCGGAUCGUAAAGCUCUGUUGUUAGGGAAGAACAAGUGCCGUUCAAAUAGGGCGGCACCUUGACGGUACCUAACCAGAAAGCCACGGCUAACUACGUGCCAGCAGCCGCGGUAAUACGUAGGUGGCAAGCGUUGUCCGGAAUUAUUGGGCGUAAAGGGCUCGCAGGCGGUUUCUUAAGUCUGAUGUGAAAGCCCCCGGCUCAACCGGGGAGGGUCAUUGGAAACUGGGGAACUUGAGUGCAGAAGAGGAGAGUGGAAUUCCACGUGUAGCGGUGA